UACCAGCACCCCGGAGUGGUCGGGACGAUUAUUGGGCCUAAAGCAUCCGGUAGCCGGUCCUACAAGUCUUCCGUUAAAUCCACCUGCUUAACAAGAGUGGGCUGCGGAAGAUACUAUAGGGCUAGGAGGCGGGAGAGGCAAGCGGUACUCAGUGGGUAGGGGUAAAAUACUCUGAUCCAUUGAAGACCAGCCAGUGGCGAAGGCGGCUUGCCAGAACGCGCUCGACGGUGAG
rnacentral:rRNA from 1 species